UCCAUUUGGCUCCAGCUGAAAACGUAUGAUCCGGUUGGAACGUUAUUGGAUAUAUAUCAUAAUAACAUCCUGAAGAUUGAUUCUCUACUUAGUUUAUUCGACCUGGAAUAUAUCUUUUGGAAGUUUUCAUGCGAGUUAUGCUGGACCAGCAGUCAGUUUUUGGGCACGUGAGCUGAAAGUGAUAGCAAAUGCAGCUACUUGGACACUAGUAUUGAACAUUAUGGAACAAAACAACAAUUUAUUGUGAACUAGGACUCCUUGCACUACAUUCUGAUGAAAGAUCAUCAAAGGAGUGUUAUCUGAUGAAGAUUUUCUAAAGCUGAACGGGGGGGUGGAGUUCCUUGAGGGGAACAACUUGCCCCAACAGGAUUAAGAACCCUGAAUCUGAGGACCUCUUGUCCACUGACGAAGUCCCAGGUCCCUUUGAAGAUGCUGGUGGUGAUGGAGGCAGACCGACAAUGGAUGAAGUACAGGAGUUCUGUGGUAGCUGGAAGGCUGCCAGCCAUUUCACCCCUCCUGGCCCUGCUGUUUGCUUUGAUGAGUCCCAGUCUGGAGUGCAAAGCCUCUUGCCAUUUCCAUCUCAGGCAGAGUGCUUCAAGCUGUUUCUGACAGAGGAGCUGGUGGAAUACAUAGUGGAGGAGACCAAUCGCUAUGCCUUGGAUCUACAGGAGAAGAGAGAGCCAGGAGUGAGAGGGAAACUCGCUAAAUGGGUGACCACGAGGGUUGCAACGAGGGUUGCACAUUUUGAGGUGGAAACCUUCCGUGGGAAUUAACGGAAAUAUAUGGGAAUUAACGGGAAUAUAUGCAAAUUAAUUACAAUUAUUUAAUUAAAUGUAGAUGUUUUUUUGCAUUGGAUAUAUUUACCAUAUCAUAUGGAGACAGAAACAUAAACCUUGUCAUAAGUAGACAUAAUUGCAAAUGAUUAAUUCAAU